CGCAGCCCGGCCGGACGGCAGCCGUGCGAGUGCCAUGCCAGGUGUGUCAGGGCUGGGUGACUGACAGAUUCUAUGGCAUCAGUUGUGGAAUGGUUCUGUCGGAAUUCUGCAGAUGCUGGAAAUUCAAGCAACAUACAUCAAAGUUGCUGGUGAACGCAGCAGGCCAAGCAGCAUCUAUAGGAAGAGGUGCAGUGGACGUUUCAGGCCGAGACCCUUCGUCAGGACUAACUGAAGGAAGACUUGGAACAGGCCCUUCCGGAUUAACAAGCUGCCCAGCAACCCACCUAAUCACUAGCCUAAUCACAGGACAAUUUACAAUGACCAAUUAACCUGCUAACCUGUAUGACUUCGGACUGUGGAAGGAAACCAGAGCACCCGGAGGAACAGCAAGUCGUUCAGGUGGUAUAAACUCCUUCCAGACAAAGCCGGAAUUGAACUCCCAACUCGGGAACAGCCCGAGCUGUAAUAGCAUCGCCCUCUCCACUACGCUAUCGUGCCUCCCCAGAGAUAACUGGAAGAAGCAGUGCAAUGGCAAAUGUUGGAGACCAUUGCUGGUGCAGCCAACUUUCCAGCCAUUAACGUUAACAAGUUCUGCACUAAGGUGAGGAUAUAGGAAAUAGAAGCUCUCAAACUACCACCUUAUUCAUGAAGACCAUGACUGUGCUCCACUUUCCUGUGCUGGCUCCAUUUCCCUUGAAUCACUAAUAUCUAAAAGAUCCUUUUGAUCUCUGUUCCCAGGGACAUGACCCAUUGAGUCCCAUUUGAAAACUACAAAACACACGGCUUCACCUUCCCGGUUUGCACCAAGCUCUCCGUAGAAGAUUUGAAAAUUGAGGACUGGUGUCUGGA